rnacentral:rRNA from 1 species
AUACGGAGGGUGCAAGCGUUAAUCGGAAUUACUGGGCGUAAAGCGCGCGUAGGCGGUUUGGUAAGUCGGAUGUGAAAGCCCUGGGCUCAACCUGGGAACUGCAUUCGAAACUGCAUGGCUAGAGUAUGGGAGAGGGAAGUGGAAUUUCCGGUGUAGCGGUGAAAUGCGUAGAUAUCUGAAGGAACAUCAAUGGCGAAGGCAGCUUUCUGGACUAAUACUGACACUGAGGUACGAAAGCGUGGGUAGCAAACAGGAUUAGAAACCCCAGUAGUCC